CCUCUCAGGCGCAGUCGAGCUGCCCUGCCUGCACCCCCCUGCCCAUCCCCGGCCCCCCCGGGCUCCGCUCCCCCUUGCCCCGCUCCUCCCGCAGCCCCCCGCUCCCUUCCUUCCUCCAGCCCCGCUCCUCCUUCCCCCCGCAGCCGCUCGCUGCCUCGUGCCCCUCGCCCUGCGCUCCCCGAGGCAGGACGGGGCAGUUACAGGCUCGGUGUGACCCCGAUUCCUUUUGGCCCUGGCCUGGCUUUGGGCCGGCACGGGGCCCUGCGCUUGGCACAGCGGGGAUUGAGCAUAGCCUGGAGCAAGGCCGUGGGCAGGACUAGGGCCAGGGCCAGAACCCUGGAUGGGACCAGGACCAAGCCCCUGGAAAGGACCAGGCACACGGAUGGGACCGGGACCAGGACCCUGGGUGUGACCAGGACCUUGUCCUUGACCCAAGUCCCUGCCCUUGGACCAGGACCAGGACCCUGGACAGGACUGGGGCUAUGCCCCUGGGUAAAACCAGACCCCUGGACAGGACAAGACCAGGGCCAAGCCCCUGGACAGGGACAGGACCAGGACCCUGGACAGGACCAGGGCCAAGCCCCUGGACAGGACGAGGACCCGGGUCAAGUCCCUGACCAGGACCAGGACCAGGCCCCUGGACAGAACCAGGCCCUUGUCCUUGGCCCAAGCCCCAGCCCUCGGCCCAGGCCCAGGCCCCUGCACAGGCUGAAGCCCCUUCCCUUGGCCCCAGCCCCUGCUCCUGGCCCACCGUGGAUCACACCCGACCUGGAGCGUGCCCCUGGACAGGCCCAGGAGCCGCACCAAGUGCCUGGACAGGACCAAGCCCCAUUCCUUGGCCCACCGGGGAUUGAACCCCACUUGGGGGGUGCCCCCGGACAGGACCAGGGCCAGGGCCAGGACCAGGACCAUGCCCCAGGACGGGCCCAGGCCCCUUCCCUCAGCCCCUGCCCGUGGCCCCUGCCCCAGGACAGCCCCAGGACCCUGCCCUUGGCCCUGCCCCAGGCCCUGGACAGCCCCAAGCCCCCUCCCUCUGCCCAAGCCCCUGCCCCCUGCCCUUGGCCUUGGCCUUGGCCCUUCCCCAUCCCCUGCCCUGCCCCCUCCCCGCCCCGCUUCCGG
rnacentral:lncRNA from 1 species